CCCUGCCUUUUGUACACACCGCCCGUCGCUACUACCGAUUGAAUGGCUCAGUGAGGCCUCCGGACUGGCUCGAAGAGGUUGGCAACGACCACUUCGAGCCGGAAAGCUGGUCAAACUCGGUCAUUUAGAGGAAGUAAAAGUCGUAACAAGGU
rnacentral:rRNA from 1 species